AAAGCUUGGCGAUACAGGGUGAUAGCCCCGUAACCGACGCUUCAUCGAGCGUGAAAUCGAGUAGGGCGGGACACGUGAUAUCCUGUCUGAAUAUGGGGGGACCAUCCUCCAAGGCUAAAUACUCCUGACUGACCGAUAGUGAACCAGUACCGUGAGGGAAAGGCGAAAAGAACCCCUGUGAGGGGAGUGAAAUAGAACCUGAAACCGUGUACGUACAAGCAGUAGGAGCACCUUCGUGGUGUGACUGCGUACCUUUUGUAUAAUGGGUCAGCGACUUAUAUUCAGUGGCAAGGUUAACCGUAUAGGGGAGCCGUAGCGAAAGCGAGUCUUAACUGGGCGCUCAGUCUCUGGAUAUAGACCCGAAACCGGGUGAUCUAGCCAUGGGCAGGUUGAAGGUUGAGUAACAUCAACUGGAGGACCGAACCGACUAAUGUUGAAAAAUUAGCGGAUGACUUGUGGCUAGGGGUGAAAGGCCAAUCAAACUCGGAGAUAGCUGGUUCUCCCCGAAAGCUAUUUAGGUAGCGCCUCGGACGAAUACUACUGGGGGUAGAGCACUGUUAAGGCUAGGGGGUCAUCCCGACUUACCAACCCUUUGCAAACUCCGAAUACCAGUAAGUACUAUCCGGGAGACACACGGCGGGUGCUAACGUCCGUCGUGGAGAGGGAAACAACCCAGACCGCCAGCUAAGGUCCCAAAGUAUUGCUAAGUGGGAAACGAUGUGGGAAGGCUCAGACAGCUAGGAUGUUGGCUUAGAAGCAGCCAUCAUUUAAAGAAAGCGUAAUAGCUCACUAGUCGAGUCGGCCUGCGCGGAAGAUGUAACGGGGCUAAGCAAUACACCGAAGCUGCGGCAAUAUCUUUUAGAUAUUGGGUAGGGGAGCG
rnacentral:rRNA from 1 species